CAGUCGCCGCGGUAAUACCGAGGGUGCAAGCGUUAAUCGGAAUUACUGGGCGUAAAGCGCGCGUAGGUGGUUUGUUAAGUUGGAUGUGAAAUCCCCGGGCUCAACCUGGGAACUGCAUCCAAAACUGGCAAGCUAGAGUAUGGUAGAGGGUGGUGGAAUUUCCUGUGUAGCGGUGAAAUGCGUAGAUAUAGGAAGGAACACCAGUGGCGAAGGCGACCACCUGGACUGAUACUGACACUGAGGUGCGAAAGCGUGGGGAGCAAACAGGAUUAGAUACCCGUGUAGUCCCUGUCUCUUAUAC
rnacentral:rRNA from 1 species